AUGGAGGGAGCUCCCGUGACCGCAGCCACGGGGGCCUUGGGGCCCGUUGUGGCCAAGUUGGGUGCUUUGCUGGGCAGUGAGUACAAGCUUCGGCGCCAGACUCGGAAGGACGUCAGGUUCAUCAAAUCCAAGCUCAAGUCUAUGCACACUAUUCUUUGGGCGACAUGGGAGAAGGAGGUUCUCCAUGCGGAAUCCAAGGACUUGAAAAAGGAAGCGCUGGACCUCGCCGACGACAUGCACGACGUUGUCGACGACUUCAUCCUCACCAUGGAGCGCAGCCGCAGAAGCAAGAACCUUAUGGUGCAGAGCAAGAUCAAAGCUAGCCCCUUCCAUGAUUUCAGGGCAAGAGUAGAUGAUGUGUCCGCCCGGUGCCGCAGCAAGUGGAAGUCGGACAAGAAGAAGUCUGCUCAACCCAUCUCCAGCUUAUUUUCAAGAAAGGCCGCCAAAUCCAGUACCCCCAGCAAACCGCCUCCUCUUCAAGCUCCAUUUGUCAGCAAGGAUGCAUCAAAGCUCGUUGGUAUGUGCAGAUGGAGGGAUGACCUCAACAAAUACCUGGUAGGAGAAGAACGGCAGCUCAAAAUGGCAUCCAUUAUUGGUAUGGCCGGCACGGGGAAAACAACCCUUGCCCGCCUUGUUUAUGGGGACGAGGCAAUUGAAAAUCAGUUCCAGUCCCGGGCUUUUGUGUCCGUCACUCCAACUCCCAACAUGAAGGAGGUUCUCACAAGCAUUCUCCAACAAGUAGGAGCUCAACCACCUGCUGGCAACCAAGCAAGGUCGGAGGAACAUAUCAUCCAUGCCAUAUCGAAUUUCCUACAGGACAAAAGGUACCUAGUAAUAAUUGAUGACAUAUGGCAUCGUGGAGAAUGGGACAUCAUCAGGAGGUCUUUUCCAGAAAAUAAUCUUGGUAGUAGAAUUGUCAUCACAACUCGUAAUGCUUCUCUACUACCAGGAGAUGAUUUGGAAAACAGCAAGCUCAAUAUCAGAAUGAAUACUGAAUGUGAUAUAUGGACACGAAAAUGGCUCUAUGGACCUGACAAGGAAGAUGUCGCUGCUCAGAUGAAGCCUGACAUGGGUGGAGAAGGUUUCGACUGUGACCAUCCUAUUGUGCGCAUGUGUGGUGGUGUGCCAUUAGCACUACUUUGCAUGUUUUCAGCAAUGGCAAUCGUCCGAGAGCAACAAAGAAAACUAGGGGUACAUUUAAGGGAACCUGAUGCGCAAGAUAUGAUUGAGAAGCAGCUUAAGCAAAGCGGAAUUCAGAGCACUCCAGGGUUUGAACCGUUGGUAGAGAGUUUGCAGCUUGGCUACACCGAUCUUCCUCACCAUAUGUUGAAGACCUGCUUGUUGUACUGCAGUGUACACCCUGAGAAUUACCCUUUUGACAUGAAUGAUUUGGUCAUGAGAUGGGUUGCUGAGGGAUUUAUUUAUAAAGAAGAUACAGGAAAAGGUUAUGUCGAAGAGCUUUGCAACAAGGGAUUUAUGCUGCGUAUGGAAGGUUCAUUUGGCAUGCCCUACUACCAAAUGAAUCCGAUGAUGCAAAAUUUCCUAAGAUGGAAAUUGCGUGAAGAUAAUUUCAUUACAUGCAGUUCUGACAUCACAUUGGCAUAUGCAUGUCGAAUCCAUCGGCUAUGUAUCGACGAUUAUCAAGUUGAUGACGGUGGGGUGGAGGUGGUGGAUACCUUGUUGGAGCUGGAUUGGUCCCAGAUUCGAUCUCUUGUUGUUUUUGAAGGUGCUAAGAGAUAUGUCCCUUUUGAGAAGUUGGAACGUGUGUGGGUGUUGGAUCUUCAAUAUCAUCAUCAUUAUUUUGAUUGUGAAUUCGAGGCCCUUGGAAAUCAGCAUGUGAAGGAUAUAUGUGGGCUGCUCUGUGUGAGGCACCUAUUCGGCCUAGAAGGGACAGGAAUCAGUGAGAUACCACCGGAAAUAGCGAGGCUGCAACAUCUGGAGACUUUGCAGGUAAGAUUCACAUGGAUCACAAGUUACCCUGUGAGAUUGGGGACCUACAACAGUUGA
rnacentral:rRNA from 1 species